rnacentral:rRNA from 1 species
GAGAUGUGUGAUGACGCAUAUCAAUAAGCGGAGGAAAAGAAACUAACUAGGAUUCCCCUAGUAACGGCGAGUGAAGCGGGAAGAGCUCAAAUUUGAAAUCUUCAAGGUUCUACCUUGACGAAUUGUAGUUUAAAGAAGUGUUUUCUGUUGGAGUUUUGGUAAAAGUUCUUUGGAAUAGGACAUCAUAGAGGGUGAGAAUCCCGUAUUUGGUCAUUCCUCCUAGCGUUGUGAUACACUUUCAACGAGUCGGAUUGUUUGGGAAUGCAGUCCAAAAUGGGUGGUAAAUUUCAUCUAAAGCUAAAUAUUGGCGAGAGACCGAUAGCGAACAAGUACCGUGAGGGAAAGAUGAAAAGAACUUUGAAAAGAGAGUUAAACAGUACGUGAAAUUGUCAAAAGGGAAGCGUUUGACACCGGUGUUGUUUUCUCGAAAAUCAAUUAAAAAUGGUGGGAUGUUGUGUUGUAUUGACCUUAUAAGCUUUCUGCACUUUUUUCAUGUCUUUUUUAAUGCACUUUUCGUUUAACAAGUCAACAUCAGUUUCUUUUGUUGUAAAAAGGUCAUUGGAAGGUGGCUUUCUUUUCGGAGAAAGUGUUUAUAGCCUUUGACUUCUGCAAUCGGAGAGACUGAGGUCUGCAGCGUAGAUCCUUCUGGAUUAGAUUCAUUUGUGCUAAGUUACAACCGUUUAUAGACAACUUGUUGACUAUAUUCGAUCCUGUAGCUUACUCGCUUAUGUAAUUUUACCUACGCUUAGGAUGUUGAUCUGUAGUGCGUGCGC